rnacentral:rRNA from 1 species
GACGAACGCUGGCGGCGCGCUUAACACAUGCAAGUCGAACGGAAAGGCCUGCUUUCCCUUGUGGAUUGCGGUUACUCGAGUGGCGAACGGGUGAGUAACACGUGAGUGAUCUGCCCCCAACUUGGGUAUAAGCCUGGGAAACUGGGUCUAAUUCCCGAUAGGACUGCAGGGUGGUGCCUGUGGUGGAAAACGAUUUUCUAGUGGUUGGGGAUGAGCUCGCGGCCUAUCAGCUUGUUGGUGGGGUAAUGGCCUACCAAGGCGGCGACGGGUAGCCGGCCUGAGAGGGUGGACGGCCACAUUGGGACUGAGAUACGGCCCAGACUCCUACGGGAGGCAGCAGCGGGGAAUAUUGCACAAUGGGCGGAAGCCUGAUGCAGCGACGCCGCGUGGGGGAUGACGGCCUUCGGGUUGUAAACUCCUUUCGACCGCGAGGAAGCCACCUGGUUGGAAGGGUGGUGACGGUAGUGGUAGAAGAAGCACCGGCUAACUACGUG